rnacentral:rRNA from 1 species
AACUUGCUCUCGGGUGACGAGCGGCGGACGGGUGAGUAAUGUCUGGGAAACUGCCUGAUGGAGGGGGAUAACUACUGGAAACGGUAGCUAAUACCGCAUAAUGUCGCAAGACCAAAGUGGGGGACCUUCGGGCCUCAUGCCAUCAGAUGUGCCCAGAUGGGAUUAGCUGGUAGGUGGGGUAACGGCUCACCUAGGCGACGAUCCCUAGCUGGUCUGAGAGGAUGACCAGCCACACUGGAACUGAGACACGGUCCAGACUCCUACGGGAGGCAGCAGUGGGGAAUAUUGCACAAUGGGCGCAAGCCUGAUGCAGCCAUGCCGCGUGUGUGAAGAAGGCCUUCGGGUUGUAAAGCACUUUCAGCGGGGAGGAAGGCGGUGAGGUUAAUAACCUCAUCGAUUGACGUUACCCGCAGAAGAAGCACCGGCUAACUCCGUGCCAGCAGCCGCGGUAAUACGGAGGGUGCAAGCGUUAAUCGGAAUUACUGGGCGUAAAGCGCACGCAGGCGGUCUGUCAAGUCGGAUGUGAAAUCCCCGGGCUCAACCUGGGAACUGCAUUCGAAACUGGCAGGCUAGAGUCUUGUAGAGGGGGGUAGAAUUCCAGGUGUAGCGGUGAAAUGCGUAGAGAUCUGGAGGAAUACCGGUGGCGAAGGCGGCCCCCUGGACAAAGACUGACGCUCAGGUGCGAAAGCGUGGGGAGCAAACAGGAUUAGAUACCCUGGUAGUCCACGCUGUAAACGAUGUCGAUUUGGAGGUUGUGCCCUUGAGGCGUGGCUUCCGGAGCUAACGCGUUAAAUCGACCGCCUGGGGAGUACGGCCGCAAGGUUAAAACUCAAUGAAUUGACGGGGGCCCGCACAAGCGGUGGAGCAUGUGGUUUAAUUCGAUGCAACGCGAAGAACCUUACCUGGUCUUGACAUCCACAGAACUUUCCAGAGAUGGAUUGGUGCCUUCGGGAACUGUGAGACAGGUGCUGCAUGGCUGUCGUCAGCUCGUGUGUGAAUGUUGGUAAGUUCCGCAACGAGCGCAAUCCUUAUCCU